rnacentral:rRNA from 1 species
UGGUGGAGUGAUUUGUCUGCUUAAUUGCGAUAACGAACGAGACCUUAACCUGCUAAAUAGCCCGUGCCGCUUUGGCGGCUCGCUGGCUUCUUAGAGGGACUAUCGGCUCAAGCCGAUGGAAGUUUGUAGGCAAUAACA